GGUACUUCUAAACUUCGUGGAAGAGCCCUGUUUCAUAAAUCUGAGACAGCCUUGGUCUGAGGGAGCAAAGACAGAGAAUUCACGUGCUGCCCAGGCAUAGCCACAUAGCAGGUGGACAUCCCUGGACACUUUUCUGACCCUCACUGGAUUUUCCUGGAAGUACGGAGAGUUACAUCCAGAGAACUCUGAACAUUUUGGAAGGACCCCAAUCCUGCAAACAAUGAAUGGCAAUAAAUCCUGGGACUGGAAAG
rnacentral:antisense_RNA from 1 species